CAACGCGAAGAACCUUACCAGAGCUUGACAUCCACAGGAGGGUCCUUAAGUGGACCUGUGCCUUCGGGAACUGUGAGACAGGUGGUGCAUGGUUGUCGUCAGCUCGUGUCGUGAGAUGUUGGGUUAAGUCCCGCAACGAGCGCAACCCUUAUGAUUAGUUGCUACGCAAGAGCACUCUAAUCAGACUGCCGUUGACAAAACGGAGGAAGGUGGGACGACGUCAAAUCAUCAUGCCCCUUACGCCCUGGGCUACACACGUACUACAAUGGCGCAAACAGAGGGGAGCAAGUGCGCGAGCAGGAGCAAAUCCUAAAAAUGCGUCCCAGUUCAGAUUGCAGGCUGCAACUCGCCUGCAUGAAGUUGGAAUUGCUAGUAAUCGCGGAUCAGAAUGUCGCGGUGAAUACGUUCCCGGGCUUU
rnacentral:rRNA from 1 species